UACGUAGGGUGCAAGCGUUGUCCGGAAUUAUUGGGCGUAAAGAGCUCGUAGGCGGUCUGUCGCGUCUGCUGUGAAAACCUGGGGCUUAACCCCGGGCCUGCAGUGGGUACGGGCAGACUAGAGUGUGGUAGGGGAGACUGGAAUUCCUGGUGUAGGCGGUGAAAUGCGCAGAUAUCAGGAGGAACACCGGUGGCGAAGGCGGGUCUCUGGGCCAUAACUGACGCUGAGGAGCGAAAGCGUGGGGAGCGAACAGG
rnacentral:rRNA from 1 species